GUUUUUUUCUUCAAACGUCAUUAAAUGACAACUUUGUUGUCGUGUUUACUCGCGGUAGAAGUAAGUCAUUGUUGCAUAACGACGGUUGGUAAGAUCAACGUAGCAAAAAAGUACUUCAGCGUUAUGGCGCUAAAGUAAAUUUCACUUUAGCGCCAUAGCGCUGAAGCACAUGUCACUUUAGCGCCGUAUUGGAAACUAUUUUCUAUUACCUUCUUCGCGAUAUCGUUAAUUUCGGACGACAUUUUGUACAAAAUAAAUUUAACUAACAGUUAAAAGUUAAAAUUCGCGCAAAACUGUUUACUUUUUUUUAUUGGUUGUCAAAUUUACGUCGUCGUUGCUAACGUUAUUUUGUCAUGACGUCCUUCGAUUUCUCAUUAAUACAUAAUAAGUUAAUUGUCAUUUUAUUAAAUUUAUUAAAAUUUAUAUUGCAAUUAUUUGCAACGUUUGAAGAAAAAAUACUGUUUUAUUCGGAAGAGAAGCAGAUUCGUUUGUGGCUGGUCCGUCAUUGCCGGACUCACUUCGUUCGUCCGGCAAACUGUCGGACACGCCACAAUUUUAACGGCUCAUCUGUCAUUAGCGACUCACUGCGUUCGUCGCUAAACGACAGACCACGCCAUAAAAAGCACUGCUUCUCUUCCAUAUAAAACAAUAUACUAUUUAUUAAAUUAUAGAAAA